CCAAUAGCGUAUAUUAAAGUUGUUGCAGUUAAAAAGCUCGUAGUUGAAUUUCGGGAUCAGUAGGUUGGUCAUGCCUAUGGUAUGUACUGGCUUUACUGGUUCCUCCUUCUUGAUGAUCUGUAAUGUCAUUAAUUUGGUGUUGCAGGGAGUCAGGACUGUUACUUUGAAAAAAUUAGAGUGUUUAAAGCAGGCAUACGCUUGAAUACAUUAGCAUGGAAUAAUGAAAUAGGACGUUCGAUCCUAUUUUGUUGGUUUCUAGGAUUGACGUAAUGAUUAAUAGGGAUAGUUGGGUGCAUUAGUAUUCAAUUGUCAGAGGUGAAAUUCUUGGAUUUAUUGAAGACUAACUACUGCGAAAGCAUUUGCCAAGGAUGUUUUCAUUAAUCAAGAACGAAGGUUAGGGGAUCGAAGACGAUCAGAUACCGUCGUAGUCUUAACCAUAAACUAUGCCGACUAGGGAUCGGAUGAUGUUAUUUUUAAUGACUCAUUCGGCGCCUUACG
rnacentral:rRNA from 1 species